rnacentral:rRNA from 1 species
GACGAACGCUGGCGGCGUGCUUAACACAUGCAAGUCGAACGGUGAAAGCGGAGCUUGCUCCGCUGGAUCAGUGGCGAACGGGUGAGUAACACGUGGGCAACCUGCCCCUCACUUCGGGAUAACUCCGGGAAACCGGGGCUAAUACCGGAUAUGACCUCCUUGGGCAUCCUUGGAGGUGGAAAGUUUUUCGGUGAGGGAUGGGCCCGCGGCCUAUCAGCUUGUUGGUGAGGUAGUGGCUCACCAAGGCGACGACGGGUAGCCGGCCUGAGAGGGCGACAGGCCACACUGGGACUGAGACACGGCCCAGACUCCUACGGGAGGCAGCAGUGGGGAAUAUUGCGCAAUGGGCGAAAGCCUGACGCAGCAACGCCGCGUGCGGGAUGACGGCCUUCGGGUUGUAAACCGCUUUCAGCAGGGAAGAAGCCGCAAGGUGACGGUACCUGCAGAAGAAGCACCGGCUAACUACGUGCCAGCCGCCGGCGUAA